GGUUAAGUGAAUAAGGGCGCACGGUGGAUGCCUUGGCACUAGGAGCCGAUGAAGGACGGGACUAACACCGAUAUGCUUUGGGGAGCUGUAAGUAAGCUAUGAUCCAGAGAUUUCCGAAUGGGGGAACCCAAUAUCUUUUAUAGGAUAUUACUUUUCAGUGAAUACAUAGCUGAUUAGAGGUAGACGCAGAGAACUGAAACAUCUUAGUACCUGCAGGAAGAGAAAGAAAAUUCGAUUCCCUGAGUAGCGGCGAGCGAAACGGGAAGAGCCCAAACCAACAAGCUUGCUUGUUGGGGUUGUAGGACUCCAAUAUGGUAGUCUGUUAGUAUAGUUGAAGGAUUUGGAAAAUUCCGCUAAAGAGGGUGAAAGCCCCGUAGACGAAAUGCUGACAACACCUAGGAGGAUCCUGAGUACG
rnacentral:rRNA from 1 species